CGGGUGCUGCGAGUCCCGUCAGGCCACAUUAUCCCUGGGGCCAAUAUCGACACCUAGGGAGCUGUCCCUGCCGGACCCGUGGGUCCGGUAUAUGGCGCCCACCUGCUAAGGCAGGCCACGGUGGAUAAAUCGCCAACGAUCUUGUGGCUCCGUU
rnacentral:other from 1 species